UACGUAGGUGGCAAGCGUUGUCCGGAUUUAUUGGGCGUAAAGCGAGCGCAGGCGGUUUCUUAAGUCUGAUGUGAAAGCCCACGGCUCAACCGUGGAGGGUCAUUGGAAACUGGGGAACUUGAGUGCAGAAGAGGAAAGUGGAAUUCCAAGUGUAGCGGUGAAAUGCGUAGAGAUUUGGAGGAACACCAGUGGCGAAGGCGACUUUCUGGUCUGUAACUGACGCUGAGGCGCGAAAGCGUGGGGAGCAAACAGG
rnacentral:rRNA from 1 species